rnacentral:rRNA from 1 species
AAGUCGAACGGUAACAGGAAGCAGCUUGCUGCUUCGCUGACGAGUGGCGGACGGGUGAGUAAUGUCUGGGAAACUGCCUGAUGGAGGGGGAUAACUACUGGAAACGGUGGCUAAUACCGCAUAACGUCGCAAGACCAAAGAGGGGGACCUUCGGGCCUCUUGCCAUCAGAUGUGCCCAGAUGGGAUUAGCUAGUUGGUGAGGUAACGGCUCACCAAGGCGACGAUCCCUAGCUGGUCUGAGAGGAUGACCAGCCACACUGGAACUGAGACACGGUCCAGACUCCUACGGGAGGCAGCAGUGGGGAAUAUUGCACAAUGGGCGCAAGCCUGAUGCAGCCAUGCCGCGUGUA